GUAGAUAUAGCCAAGUGGAUAAAAGCAGUGGAUUAUAAAUCCACCAUGCACGGAUUCAAUUCCCGUCGUUCGCA
rnacentral:tRNA from 1 species